rnacentral:rRNA from 1 species
UAUCAGUCAUGCAUAGCAUAUCAAUAAGCGGAGGAAAAGAAACUAACAAGGAUUCCCUUAGUAACGGCGAGUGAAGCGGGAAGAGCUCAAAUUUGAAAUCUUCAAGGUUUUCACCUUGACGAAUUGUAGUUUAAAGAAGUGUUUUCUGUUGAAGUUUUGGUAAAAGUUCUUUGGAAUAGGACAUCAUAGAGGGUGAGAAUCCCGUAUUUGACCAUUACUUUCAGCUUUGUGAUACACUUUCAAAGAGUCGGAUUGUUUGGGAAUGCAGUCCAAAAUGGGUGGUAAAUUUCAUCUAAAGCUAAAUAUUGGCGAGAGACCGAUAGCGAACAAGUACCGUGAGGGAAAGAUGAAAAGAACUUUGAAAAGAGAGUUAAACAGUACGUGAAAUUGUCAAAAGGGAAGCGUUUGACACCAGUGUUGUUUUCUCGAAAAUCAAUUAAAAAGAGUUGGAUUUUGUGUUGUAUUGACUUUAUCAGGCUUUCUUCACUCUUUUCCAGCUUUUUUUAAUGCACUUUUCGUUUAACAAGUCAACAUCAGUUUCUUUUGUUGUAAAAAGGUCAUUGGAAGGUGGCUUUCUCUUCGGAGAAAGUGUUUAUAGCCUUUGACUCAUGCAAUCGGAGAGACUGAGGUCUGCAGCGUAGAUCCUUCGGGGUUAGAUACAUUUGUGCUAAGUUAUAGCUUUUCAUAGACAACUUGUUGACUAUGUUUAGUCUUGUAGCUUACUCGCUUAUGCUAUUUUACCUACGCUUAGGAUGUUGAACUCUAUCACACACAG